ACUUGAAUAAAGAAAACAUUUUUAUGGUGGAGGAGAGGGGCGUGAGAAGACGUGGAUGGGGAGCUUGAGACACCCGAUCCUGUUUCGCUGGUGAAGCGUCCCAUUUGGCCCGUGACGCCAACCCCGAUGCCACAGUUGCAUCUGCCACCACGCUUGCAUCCCCUGGUGCUGGUGGUGCAGUGUGUGGUGUCCCAGGGCAUGGUCACCAUGGGUCGGUGCCACCCAGCCCCGUGUUGGUCCCCAGGGAAGCACUAAUGGAGGGCCUUGGUUGACGGUGGUGGGUGAUGUGUGCCUGUGCCUCCCAUAAGAUCCUGCCCGGGGGACUGCAUCCCACCCUCCUGUCUCUCUGCAGCUCAGAGAGGACACCCCUGCAAUCCCCUUUUUGUGCUUUCUUCCAUAAAUAGCAAAAACGGGAAAUCCGCUGUAAUGGAGAGCUCUGUUAGGAGAAUUGAGUGAAUCCAGGCUGAGCCUUUAGGGUGUAAUGACCCAGAAAUGGCCAAAAGGGGACCCACCACAGCUGCCCCUACAAAAAAAAACAGACAGCACUUUUGGCGGUGCUGGUCUUACAGCAAUGGGAAGGCAACAACGCACUGGCCACGGCUCCUGGGGCUCUGUGGGACCUCCACCAUCCAUGAGGAUUGCUCGGGCACCAACCUCAUCCCUGUGAAGGUGGAUUUGGGUCCCGCAGGUAUUUUUGGACCUUCUCUGUGCAGCCACCAGAGGCAGCAGGACCCCACUGGGAGCCCAGUCACGCAUCCAGUGGCCUAAAUCUCAAGGGUUAAUUCAGGGAUCAGAGGUCUUCAGCAUCACAUGAAACACCACUGAGUGAGUUGUUGCAGCCUCUCCUUGGCACCCGCGUGCUGCCCAGGGCCUUCACACCUCCCCUACCUGCAGGUGGGUUUGCUUCUACCCCUGCUGUCAGCUUGCUCAGUUUCCUCUUGUUCUCCCAGUUCUGACAUUGAAUUUCAAAGCUAGCACAAAUCGAGCGGAAGGGUAUACAUGAAGCCACUUUCCAGAUUAGGGCUUCUGUCAGAGCACCUUGCCCGUCCCAUCAGCUGCUUUCAGCACGCGGUGCCGCAGCGGUGCGGCGGCGCGCUCUGAUCCUGUGUGAAGUCAGAAAGAGCCUUCACAGCUGUCACUUCCAGUUCCUACCAAAGCAAAACACUUCCUACAAGGAAAGCGCACAUUACAGCUGAAUUAUAAAUGAGGACUGGUAUUUUUGCGAGGUACAAAUCGGAGGCAUUCUCCAUAUUGUUAGAAUACCAAUUUUAUUUUCCUGGUAUGUAGUACCCAGUGCAGCGCGGCGUCCCCGGAGAUGCGGGCAUUCUCCGGAGAUUACUUCAGCAUUGCAUUACUGCUAUCACAUAUCCAUUAUAUAUACUCUUUCAGACAAGUGGAAAUGUUUUCACAAAAACAAUCUGGAAUCUUGGCUUAAAACCCAAGUUUGCUGUCAAGGCAAACAGAGUAGCCUCAAAGAGGACUUAUUUUUAUUUUGUUCAGACAAGUAUGUUGUUUCUGGAUUAUAAUAAGGAAAAAUAUAGCAGCUAUCACUCUUCAGUUUAUUUGACAAGCUUCCUCUGACAAACCUACAGGAAUAAGCCCUGGCCUUGCGAACUUGUUCUCAUUCAGGUAUUCCCUUUGGCUUCAGCACUUUU
rnacentral:lncRNA from 1 species